rnacentral:rRNA from 1 species
UACGGGGGGUGCGAGCGUUGUCCGGAAUCACUGGGCGUAAAGCGUGCGUAGGCGGUUCGUUAAGUCUGUUGUGAAAGCCCCGGGCUCAACCUGGGAAUGGCAAUGGAUACUGGCGAGCUAGAGUGUGUCAGAGGAUGGUGGAAUUCCCGGUGUAGCGGUGAAAUGCGUAGAGAUCGGGAGGAACAUCAGUGGCGAAGGCGGCCAUCUGGGACAACACUGACGCUGAGGCACGAAAGCGUGGGGAGCAAACAGG